GAAAUGCGAUAAGUAAUGUGAAUUGCAGAAUUCAGUGAAUCAUCGAAUCUUUGAACGCACCUUGCGCUCCUUGGUAUUCCGAGGAGCAUGCCUGUUUGAGUGUCAGUAAAUUCUCAACUCCUCCAGUUUUUGUGACUGAGAUGGAGCUUGGAUGUGGAGGUCUUGCGGGCCCUUAAGGGGUCGGCUCCUCUGAAAUGCAUUAGCGGAACCGUUUGCGAUCCGUCACAGGUGUGAUAAUUAUCUACGCCAGUGGGUUGCUCUCUGUCUUGUUCAGCUGCCAACCGUCCGCAAGGACAGACUAUUUUACUGAACCUUUGACCUCAAAUCAGGUAGGACUACCCGCUGAACUUAA
rnacentral:rRNA from 1 species